rnacentral:lncRNA from 1 species
AUGAAAAAAAUGGUAAAUUAAUGUUCGAGUUGUAAAUUGUAAGAAGAACUUGUAAACAAGACAAAAACUUAGAAAAAUGACAUAAAACUAGUAAAUUGACAUUAAUUGUGAAAUAAAACAAAAAAUGUGUAAAUCACACAUAAAACUAGUAAAUUGAUGGAAAAAUGAGUAAAUUAAUGUUGGAGUUGUAAUUUGUACGAAAAACUUGUAAACAAAACAAAAACUUAGAAAAAUGACAUAGAACUAGUAAAUUCACAGUAAGUGUGAAAUAAAACAAAAAAUAUGUAAACCACACAUAAAACUAGUAAAUUAAUGAAAAAAAUGAUAAAUUAAUGUUCGAGUUGUAAAUUGUAAGAAGAACUUAUAAACAAGACAAAAACUUAGAAAAAUGACAUAAAACUAGUAAAUUGACAUUAAUUGUGAAAUAAAACAAAAAAUGUGUAAAUCACACAUAAAACUAGUAAAUUGAAGGAAAAAUGAGUAAAUUAAUGUUGGAGUUGUAAUUUGUACGAAAAACUUGUAAACAAAACAAAAACUUAGAAAAAUGAUAUAGAACUAGUAAAUUCACAUUAAUUAUGAAAUAAAACAAAAAAUAUGUAAACCACACAUAAAACUAGUAAAUGUAUGGAAAAAAUGGUAAAUUAAUGUUCGAGUUGUAAAUUGUAAGAAGAACUUGUAAACAAGACAAAAACUUAGAAAAAUGACAUAGAACUUGUAAAUUCACAUUAAGUGUGAAAUAAAACAAAAAAUAUGUAAAUUACACAUAAAACUAGUAAAUUAAUGAAAAAAAUGGUAAAUUAAUGUUGGAAUUGUAAUUUGCACGAAACACUUGUAAACCAAACAAAAACUUAUAAAAAUGACAUAGAACUAGUAAAUUGACAUUAAUUGUGAAAUAAAACAAAAAAUGUGUAAAUCACACAUAAAACUAGUAAAUUGAUGGAAAAAUGAGUAAAUUAAUGUUGGAGUUGUAAUUUGUACGAAAAACUUGUAAACAAAACAAAAACUUAGAAAAAUGACAUAGAACUAGUAAAUUCACAGUAAGUGUGAAAUAAAACAAAAAAUAUGUAAACCACACAUAAAACUAGUAAAUUAAUGAAAAAAAUGAUAAAUUAAUGUUCGAGUUGUAAAUUGUAAGAAGAACUUGUAAACAAGACAAAAACUUAGAAAAAUGACAUAAAACUAGUAAAUUGACAUUAAUUGUGAAAUAAAACAAAAAAUGUGUAAAUCACACAUAAAACUAGUAAAUUGAAGGAAAAAUGAGUAAAUUAAUGUUGGAGUUGUAAUUUGUACGAAAAACUUGUAAACAAAACAAAAACUUAGAAAAAUGACAUAGAACUAGUAAAUUCACAGUAAGUGUGAAAUAAAACAAAAAAUAUGUAAACCACACAUAAAACUAGUAAAUUAAUGAAAAAAAUGAUAAAUUAAUGUUCGAGUUGUAAAUUGUAAGAAGAACUUGUAAACAAGACAAAAACUUAGAAAAAUGACAUAGAACUUGUAAAUUCACAUUAAGUGUGAAAUAAAACAAAAAAUAUGUAAAUUACACAUAAAACUAGUAAAUUAAUGAAAAAAAUGGUAAAUUAAUGUUGGAAUUGUAAUUUGCACGAAACACUUGUAAACCAAACAAAAACUUAUAAAAAUGACAUAGAACUAGUAAAUUGACAUUAAUUGUGAAAUAAAACAAAAAAUGUGUAAAUCACACAUAAAACUAGUAAAUUGAUGGAAAAAUGAGUAAAUUAAUGUUGGAGUUGUAAUUUGUACGAAACACUUGUAAACAAAACAAAAACUUAGAAAAAUGAUAUAGAACUAGUAAAUUGACAUUAAUUGUGAAAUAAAACAAAAAAUGUGUAAAUCACACAUAAAACUAGUAAAUUGAUGGAAAAAUGAGUAAAUUAAUGUUGGAGUUGUAAUUUGUACGAAAAACUUGUAAACAAAACAAAAACUUAGAAAAAUGACAUAGAACUAGUAAAUUCACAGUAAGUGUGAAAUAAAACAAAAAAUAUGUAAACCACACAUAAAACUAGUAAAUUAAUGAAAAAAAUGAUAAAUUAAUGUUCGAGUUGUAAAUUGUAAGAAGAACUUGUAAACAAGACAAAAACUUAGAAAAAUGACAUAAAACUAGUAAAUUGACAUUAAUUGUGAAAUAAAACAAAAAAUGUGUAAAUCACACAUAAAACUAGUAAAUUGAAGGAAAAAUGAGUAAAUUAAUGUUGGAGUUGUAAUUUGUACGAAAAACUUGUAAACAAAACAAAAACUUAGAAAAAUGAUAUAGAACUAGUAAAUUCACAUUAAUUAUGAAAUAAAACAAAAAAUAUGUAAACCACACAUAAAACUAGUAAAUGUAUGGAAAAAAUGGUAAAUUAAUGUUCGAGUUGUAAAUUGUAAGAAGAACUUGUAAACAAGACAAAAACUUAGAAAAAUGACAUAGAACUUGUAAAUUCACAUUAAGUGUGAAAUAAAACAAAAAAUAUGUAAAUUACACAUAAAACUAGUAAAUUAAUGAAAAAAAUGGUAAAUUAAUGUUGGAGUUGUAAUUUGUACGAAAAACUUGUAAACAAAACAAAAACUUAGAAAAUUGACAUAGAACUAGUAAAUUCACAUUAAGUGUGAAAUAAAACAAAAAAUAUGUAAACCACACAUAAAACUAGUAAAUUAAUGAAAAAAAUGGUAAAUUAAUGUUCGAGUUGUAAAUUGUAAGAAGAACUUGUAAACAAGACAAAAACUUAGAAAAAUGACAUAAAACUAGUAAAUUGACAUUAAUUGUGAAAUAAAACAAAAAAUGUGUAAAUCACACAUAAAACUAGUAAAUUGAUGGAAAAAUGAGUAAAUUAAUGUUGGAGUUGUAAUUUGUACGAAAAACUUGUAAACAAAACAAAAACUUAGAAAAAUGAUAUAGAACUAGUAAAUUCACAUUAAUUGUGAAAUAAAACAAAAAAUAUGUAAACCACACAUAAAACUAGUAAAUGUAUGGAAAAAAAUGGUAAAUUAAUGUUCGAGUUGUAAAUUGUAAGAAGAACUUGUAAACAAGACAAAAACUUAGAAAAAUGACAUAGAACUUGUAAAUUCACAUUAAGUGUGAAAUAAAACAAAAAAUAUGUAAAUUACACAUAAAACUAGUAAAUUAAUGAAAAAAAUGGUAAAUUAAUGUUGGAAUUGUAAUUUGCACGAAGCACUUGUAAACCAAACAAAAACUUAUAAAAAUGACAUAGAACUAGUAAAUUGACAUUAAUUGUGAAAUAAAACAAAAAAUGUGUAAACCACACAUAAAACUAAUAAAUUAAUGGAAAAAUAGGUAAAUUAAUGUUACAGUUGUAAAUUGUAAGAAGAACUUAUAAAUAAAACAAAAACUUGUAAAUGUUGCAUAAAACUUGUAAAUCAACAUUAACUUGUAAAAGUUUCAUAAAACUUGUAAAUCACACGUAAAAUUGGUAAAUGUAACCUGGAACUUGAACAAAAAAGAGUAAUUACCUGCUACUUAGGUAACAGGUUACCUAUUUAUUUAGAAUUAAUGGUAGAGAUUUUUUAUUCAAAUCUAACGGUCCACGUCCAUUACGGCAUCAAUGCCGUAAAUUUAAUUACGGCAUUAUAGAAUGACCCUUCCAUAAUUAUAUCUUCAAAAAAAAUCUUUCAUUUUACUAUACUUUCAUUAAUUAUCCUUUAUUGUUUCUAGUUGUAGUACGGCAACUCUCGAAGCUAGUCUUAAUAGACAUCAGUUCAAUGUUAAUGUCGUAACUGACAUUAAAGCAGUGAAAAUGAGUUGCAUACAAAAACAAGAUAAAAUAUUAAGUGCUAGCCCCCUUCUUGUCUGUUAAAAUAUAGCAAAAACCCCUAAAUAUUUCAAAAUCUAGCAAAACCUCCUGUCUUCGGUAUUAUUAAAGUUUAAAAUUCGGAGUUAUCAUUUAAAUUGGGCCCACACAUGAUUAUUUUUAACCCCGUCAAUGUUGUCACGUGUACACCACCAAAUCGGGUGUCUAAAUUGGAUUAACCGUUUGAUUUAUUCAAUAAUUAACGGUAAAGUAGCCACUCCUCCCUUCUCGCUUCUAUGCUCCGUGGGUCCUUUGUAACCUAAUUCCCGUAAACAACGAAUUUGUUCUAAUCUUUACCCAAGGGAUGUGUAUGAGGUCCAUUAGAUCCACGUUUCUUUUGCAACAAAGCCGCUUACUACAUUGCCUUAGGCCCCUUAGCUAAUGGCUAUUUACUAUUUAGACCACUUGCUGGUGGUUAAAACUCUUCUUCCUUUAUAGAUAGAAUGAAUGACUUUGAAUUUUAUUAGAAACCUCAUUUUUUUUUUUUUGGUAAAUAUAUUUUUGUAAGGGUUAAGUAGCUCCGAUAAUGACUUAAUGUAAUGAGAGUAAACUGUAAUAUAAAAUUAAAAAAAAAGAAGGUUUAUAUUAUUUAAUUAUCAAAUGGCUAGGCUUUGGAGUUUUUUUUUGGGGGGGGGAGACAAAAAAAUUCUUAUUAAAUAGAACAAAAUUUAAAAAAUGACAAGCUAAGUGAUGCAAAAAAUCUUCCAUCAUUACAAAACAACUACGGGAACGAACUAUAAAGUUAGCUAAAGCAACUUCAUCACAAUUAGCUUAGGAGAAAUUUUGAUCUCUAGAGAGUAUAUUAAUUAUCAAACAAACAGAAACACCGUUAAAAAUAUAAAUAAAUAAAAUAAAGAUAAAAUCUCUAAAUAGGUUAUACUUUGUCAUAUGUAGAGCAGGAACCUUAUUAUGAAUCAUAAAUAAAAAUAUAUAUUAGUUAUAUUAUAAAUUUUAGGGAAAUUAUCAUUCGUAUAUCCUAUAUUUACUCUGUUAUAAAAAAUACUACAAUACUUUGAGGGUGUAUCAAUCGUCCACCCUUAAUUGACAAAAUGUAUCAGCCGACCACCAAACCAUUAGUUACCGUUUGAAAGUUAACGGAAUUACAGUGAAUUGACGAUUUUACCCUUGAAAAUUAUCACUUGUAUACCCUUAAAUUCUCUUUUUAUCACUUGUAUACCCUUAAAUUAUCACUUGUAUCAUAUGAAAAGACCAAAUUACCCUUCUGACGUCAUCAUACUUAAACGGCAACUAACGGUUUGGUGGUCAGCUAAUACAUUUUAUCAACUUAGGGUAGACGAUUGAUACACCCUCAAAGUGUUGUAGUAUUUUUUAUAAUGGAGUAAACUAAGGGUAUACAAAUGAUAAUUUCCCUAAAAUUUAUUUAUUUAAAAUCAAUUCUUACAACGUUCUAAAAUGUCAAAUUAUUAAAUAAAAUUCUAUUCUACUAUUGCUAAUCUAUGAAAUUUUAAUUCAAUUAUAUUAUUUUCGCUUAUUGCUUCUUUACUCAAAUUACAUCUUUUUUACCACUCUUUUUUUAGAUUAAACUAAUUUUCCUAUUUUCUAUUUUUUAAAGUUUUUCGACACAGUUUUAUUUCAAAAUGGAUAAAAUAAGCACACAAAUAAUAAUAAUAAUAAUAGUAGAUGAACAAAAGAAUAAAUUAAAAAGAAAUAAGAACAAUUAAAUAACACAACUAAUUAAGAGAAAAAUAAAAAGAUAAAAUCUGAAAUUUGUGAUGAAAUCAUAAACUAACUUUAUCUUUAAUUGUUUGAGAAUUUAAGCAAUGAGUAGUAUUAAGGGUGUUCAGAAUCCAAUCUGAUCCAUUAAAUCCAUAUGGUCCGCAGAAAUCCGAUCUCUGGAUUGGUGGAUUAGAUUAGAUUUGAAAAUUUGAAAAUCCACAGUCAUUAUAUUGGAUAUGGAUUUACUUCUGUGAAUUCGCAAAAAUCUACGAAUCCGCAAAAAAAUAAAAAAUAUUUAUUUAAUAAAAAAUUAAACUUUUAAAUAUGGAAUUAUACUUACUAAUAAAUAAAUAAGUUAAACUAUACAUUAACACCAUAUUAUGUCUUAUCCGAUAGUAAUAUAAAAUAAAAAUAAUUAAAUAAAAAAACAUAGUUUCCUAAGUAAUUAAUUUUCAUGUAUUGAUCUAAACAAAUGAGAUUUUUUUUUCUUUUUGGUGUGUUAUAUUUUGAAACUUUGAAUGUAUUUUCUAACUUUAUUUAAACAAUUAAUUAAUUUAAAUAUUAUUUAAUUUUAAAUUUAAUCGGUAUUAAAAUUAUUUUUAUAUUAAUUUUUUUACUUAAAGUUUGAAACAUUCAAUCAAAAUCUCUUUUCUCUCCCUUUUCUUUUUAGCGGGUUUAAAAAUCAGUAUUAUCGCAAUGUGGGCACAUUCAGUUAUUGGAUCAACUGAUGAGAUACAACCUAAAUAGAAAAUAUGCAACGCUCUUAGUUAUUACGUACAGAAGGUAACAAAAUUCUCCUCUGCCACUUCCUCCUGCCUUCGACAGUGGCUUCUCAACGAUCUUUUGUUAUAGGCGUUGGCACAAAUAAAGGACGUUGAUAAUUGAGGGAAAAAAUUAAAUAAAUAAAUAAAAAAGGACGGUUGAUUAAUGCUGUCGGUAAUAAAAUAGUGUUGGAUGGGUAGACUUGCGCCUUGACGCAAAAUACGGGAAAGAACAAGCGAACCUGUAAUUCUUGAUAUCUAUGAUGGAGGUGCUGUGAUUUUUCUGGUACCGUGGCUGCUGUAAAAGAAAAAUAUAAUUAUAAAAUAAAAAUUAAUAACAUAUAAUAAAUAUAAUUUUUAAAUAAUAAUUUUAAUAAAAUUAAAAAUAUAAAAUAAAUUUUAUUAUAUAAAUAUAAAUAUAAAAUUAAUUUAAUUUAAUUUUUAAAUUAUAAUAAUUAAUAUUUAUUAAAUAUUUUAAUAUUAUAAUUUUUAUGUUACAAUUAUUCGAUCUCAAUUUCAAACAGUACCUUAAUCGAAUUAGUUGGCAUCGAGAUUCUUCUCCAACUAGAGAGGAACGUCAUAAAAAAUAAUUGUGAGAAUAUCAAUGGGGUUCAAUUGUUCAAACAAGUCCACGCACUUUUUCUCAUUUGUUUCUCUUUUUUAUACAUGACAAUUUCGUAUUUAGUUUAUCAACAUAUAUAUACACUUAUCAUAGAGUUUAUAUUUAUAUUAAUGCACGUGUUACUAUUCAUUAAUUAAAAUAUGCUUUAAAAAAUAAUAAACACCAAGGUUAUUAUCUUUGAUGAAUUCAUAAAUUAUUUAAUAAGUACCAUAAUUUAUUAUUAUAUUUUUAUAAAAAGUUCCAUUUUACUACAUUUUCACUUAAUAUUGUUGGUCCUUUACUGUUACUAAUUGUAAGGUGACGGCUAAUGAAGCCAAUCCUAACAGAAAGUCGUUCAACGUCGAUGCCAUACCAACAUUGAAGGGGUAAAAAUGAGUUCACAUAUAAAACCAAGAUCAAAUCCUGUAAGCUAUUAUCGUUAAUUAUUGAAUAAAUCAAACAUGUUAAUCCAAUUUGGUGGUGUACACGUGCGAACAUAGAGAAGGUUGAAAAUUUAAGAUGUGGGCUAAUUUUAAAUUAUAACUCCGAAUUUCAAACAUUGAUAAUAUUCACAACAAGGAAACAUUUUAAAAUAUAUUGGAGCUAAUACAAUCAACUAAUAUAUAUAUAUAUAUAUAUAUAUAUAUAUAUAUAUAUGGCAUGUGUAUUUGAAUUUAAUAUAAUCUCACUUGAAUGAUGAUAGUUCGAAAUAAAUGCAUAAAUGUCAUAAUAUGAUUUACUUAUUGUAUGAUUGAUAUGGUAUCUUCAAUGUAUUUUAAAAGUUCUCGACAACAGAAGGUUUUGUUGAAUUUUAAAAUAUUAAGAGGUUUUCGCUAUAUUUUAAUAAAUAAGAAGGAGGUUUUACUCAUUUCCCUUAAAUUAAUUUUGUAAACUAAGGUUCUUAGAUCCAUAUUACUUUGGCAACAAACCCGCUUACCACAUUGCCCUUAGCUAAUAGCUAUUUAUUAUUUAGAGCAUUUGUCUGAUGGUUAAUAAUCUUCUUUCUUGGUAAAUAGAAUGACUUUGAAUUUUAUUAGAAACCUCAUAUAUUUUCUUAAUAUAUUUAUGUAAGUGUGAAGUGCACCUGUAUCCGGUGCUCCGAUAGGAAUGUAAAUGAGAGUAAAUUGUAAUUUAAAUUAUGGAAAAAAUAUUUGUAUUAUUUAAUUAUCAAAUGUUUAGGCUUAGGAGAAGGUGUUCUUUUUUCUUUUUAAAUACAAGAAUUAUCAAUAAAUAAGUAAAUAAUAUCUAAAAAAAACAAGUUAAGUUUCGUGAAAAAUCUUCCAUCCUUAAAAAAAAAAAGGAGAAUGAAUUGGAAAUUUAGCUAAAACAUAUACAGAUUUAUUAUAAUUGGUUUUGGAAAAAAUCUUACAAGUAGAUCCUACUUUAGAAUUCAUAAAUUCUAAUAUUUAAAAAAUAAAUGCUAUGCUAAACGACAUCAUAAUUUAAGUAGUUGGUCCUACCUUCAGCUGAGGUGAUAGGGCGGCCGAUAGAAUUUUCUCCCAUAAGUAACGACAUAAUAUCUUAGAUUCGAAAUCUUUAAAGACAAAAUUAGAAAGUGGUGUAAUUGUAAUGUUUGGUACAAAUGUGGCAAAGUAUAAUGGGAUAAGUCCAUUGAAGCCAGGUGAUCUCGUGAACAACGUGUGAUCUAUUAUUAUGUAUUGUCGUGGAAAUGAGAAGUGUCUAGUUGUAAAGCGAAGUCUCCGCUAGAGAAAGUCAGAAGAAAAGGACCAUUGUUGAUUGACGAUAUCAGUAAUAAAAUAAUCCUGGAUGGCUAGACUUGGGCGUUGACGCCGAUUCAACGAAAAGAGAGAAAAGAUUGAAAACGAAGGUAAAAUAUCUUUAAAUAAGUUUAAUCUCCAUCUCAAUGAUAACAAGUUUAAGUGAUGUUAAAAAUCUCCCUUUAUUACAAAACAAUUACGAAGAUGAAGUACAAACUUAGAUAAAUAAAUUAUCUAUAAUAUUAUUAUAAAUGGCUUAAGAGAAGAUCUUAUACCUUAAAGAACAUUAUAAUUAUUAAAUAAAACAAAUAAACAACCCAAUAAAAUAAAAAAUAAAAAAUAAAAUAGAGACGGAGAAUCUUUGAAUAUUUAUAUAUUUAAUAAAAUUUAUAUUAAAUAUUUGCUUUCAUAUAUAUAUAGACACACACACACCAAAAAUAUUACACAUUUUCAAUAUUGAAGUUUUAAUUAUAUAUAUGUAAAUAAUAUUAUAUAUCAAUAUAAUAAAAUAUGCAAAUCUACCGAUAUUUUUCACAUUUACACUAUUAAAAUUUUAAAUCAAUAUAAAAUUUUAAAUGAAAUAUUGUGUAUAUAUCUAUCCUUUCAAAAAAAGAAUAAAAAAAAGAGAAUUAUGUUCAAUAUUUUAGUUUUAAUGGAAAAAACUUAGAAAUCAAUUUAAAAUUAAAAAAAAUAUAAUUGUAUUAUUAGUUGAAUAAAUACGUUAAGAACUUUAAUCUUAAUCUGACAAAGAAAAAAACAUGUUGACUUUGACCUAAUUCAUUUAAUAAUUGUGUCAAAUUUAAUAAUUUAUAUAUAUUUAUUCAUACCAUGUUCAUGUCGAAUAAUCGAGUAUCGCAUCAAAUUUUGACAGCCUUACUUUAAUAUAAUUGUAAAAAUACUCUAGGUCAAACUUAUCAGCUAGCUAGCUGAGUAAUACACCGUACAAUAAUGAACUGACAAAUAAAAUUCUUUAAGGAUAGACUCAAAAGAGAGAGUUAUAGGGGGAUCGGACAUCAAAACAAAUUUGUUAACCUAUUGUGCCAGUUUGGAUCUUUUUAUUUAGCUGGAAAAGAAAAAGGAAAAUAAUAAUGGAACAAAAGUAUGAUAAAAUCAUGACAAAAUUUUUUUUUUUAUGAAUUUUUAAAUUUUCUUUCGUAAUUUAACAUUUUUCUUUUUAAAAAAUUCUCUAAAUUAAUUAAAUUAUAAAAGUUUUUAUCAUUAUGUCGUCAUACUUUUAUUCAUCUAGAAUUGGUGAAGGUAAAAAAUGAUUGACGCUAUCGAUAAUAAUAUAAAAUAAUAUUGAAUGCCUAGACUUGGCCGUUGACGUCUUGGCGCCGAAAAGGAAAAAGAAGAAAAUAAUUGGUAAGGAUCGAACAAGCGAAAAGUCACAGAAAAAUAAUAAUUACAGUUUUAUACGAGACAUUAUUGACUAGCGGGGUUCAAAUAAACCUUUCCCCACCCAUUUUUUAAAUAAAAAUUAAUAAUAUGUAAUAAGUAAAAUUUUUAAAUAAUAAUUUUUAAAAAAUAUUAUUAAUUUUUAAUAAUUAAUUUAACUUUAUACUACAACAAUUAAUUUUUAUUAAUUAUUUUAAUGUUAUAAUUUUUAAUUUACAACUUACAACUGUUGGACCUUAAUUCUAAAUAUAGUUGUACUCGAAUUAGUUGGCAUCCAUACUCUUCACCAACCAUAGAGAAAGUUAAAAAAAAUAAUUGCGAGAACAUCAUGGGAUACAAACAAUACUACUAGUCCACGCACUUUUUCUUGCUUUCAUAUUUGCUUGUCUUUAUGGACGUGACCAUUUCGUAUUUUCGGGUUUAGUUUGUCAUCAUUUUUUUUAUAUGUAUACUUAUCAUACAGUUUAUAUCCAUAUUAAUACGCGUGUCACUAUACAUUAAUUAAAAUAUGCUUUAAAAAAUAAUAAACAAUAAGGUUAUUGUCGUUUGACUAAUUCAUAAAUUAUUUAAGAAGUAUGUUAAUUUAUUAUUUUAUUACUAUAUUAAAAGAAAUUUUCCAUUUUACUACAUUUCAUUUACUGUUGGUCCUUUAUUGUUACUAAUUGAAGGGGUAAAAAUGAGAUCACAUAUAAGACCAAUACCAAAUCCUCUAAGCUACUCUAUCGUUAAUUAUUGAAUAAAUCAAACGUGUUAAUCUAAUUUAGAGGUGUAUACGUGACAGCAUAGUGGAGGUUGAAAAUAUUGAGAUGUGGGCCCAUUUUAAAAUAUAACUCUGAAUUCCAAACGUUAAUAAUAUUCACGAGGGAGAACAGCUAACCAAACAAGCCCACUAGCUUCUUCCCCACCACUUGUACUCAAAAACUCAAAUAUCAUGAACUCUGAUCUGUACGAGGCUGCUGCAAAGGGGAAAUUGAACCCUUCAACCAAUUGGCGAUAGAUCGUCAACUUGGAAGCCUAGUGACUCACAAAAAGAAUACCGUCCUGCACGUCAGCAUAAUUGCAUCCUACACCCAGAAUAAAGAAGGAAAAAGUGUCUCAACCAAGUUUGUGGAACGGAUACUUGAAAUGUGUCCAUCAUUGCUACUACAAGUUAAUGCCAAAGGUGAUGCCCCACUCCAUGCUGCGGCCAGAUGCGGGCAUGCUGCUGUUGUGGAAGCUCUGAUUGAAUUUGCGAAAAAACAGCCCGGUCAAGAGCUAGAAAGUGGCGUGGAAAGUACAGCAAAGCAUAUGCUAGGGAUGAAAAAUGAGGAAGAAGACACAGCGUUGCACGAGGCAGUGCAAAGUGGUAGCCUUGAUGUCGUGGAAAUUUUAUUGGGAGCAGACCCUGCUUUUACGUAUUCUGCUAACGGUAGCGGUGAAACUCCACUUUACUUGGCAGCCGCGAGGGGACAUAAGAAGAUAUCAGCUGAAAUAUUAGAAAAAUGUCCGUUGGCGGCCCAUGAAGGCCCCAAUGGAAAGACUGCCCUUCAUGCAGCAGUCUGCAGUGGCUCUCGCGGUAUGGAUGCGCAUGGUUUCGUACAAAAUUUAAUACCAUAAUUGUUUUUUAAAUUGUUCGGUUUUUUAAUAAAAUUUUUAAAGAUUAAAUAAUUUAUUCUAAUAAAAAUAUAAAUUUUAACCUUUUAAUAACAGAGUUUGAAAACUUUUUAAAAUAUUUAAAUAUCUAAAAUAUUUUUUAUUUGUUUGACAAUUUAUUUUAUAACAUAAUUUAAAAAAAAUUAUUCAUUAAAAUAAUUUUAUAAUUUUAAUCAAAUUUUUAUUGGCAAUCAAAAAAUUAAAUUUUUUUUGAUAAAAAUUUUACUAACAGGAACUAUUCUUAAAUGGAUUUUAUUUUAAAAAUAAUAUCAAACAUAAGCUUAGUUGUUUAAUUUUCUUUUCUUUUUAGGUGUGAUACAACUAUUACUUGACAGAAAGAAAAGUUUGACCAGAGAAAGAGACCAACACGGUUGGACUCCACUCCAUUACGCUGCGUAUAUUGGUCGCUUCGGCUUCUUAAUAUUAGAAGCUUAUAAAUCUGUUGCGUUGAUUCCUGACGAAGAUCGGAAGAUGACAGCUCUUCAUUUAGCAGCCGGCCAAGGGAAUGUUUGGAUGGUACAAGAAAUUAUUGAGUGUUGUCCGGAAUGUUGUGAAUUGGUUGAUGACAGAGGAUGGAAUGUUCUUCACUUUGCUAUGGUUAGUUUUUAUAAAAGUGAAUUGAAACGUCUGCUGAACGAAUAUCCGAUCGUCAGAAAUCUAAUUUUUGAGAAGGAUGCGAAGGGGAACACUCCCUUCCAUGUGCUUGCUGCUGUCUGUCCGCAUCCAGGCAAAGCCGGCUAUGACAUCAUCCCUUACAAAAUUGCUAAAGGUUAUUAUCAAGCUGUCAACAAUCAAAAUAUUAGUGUUGAACACAUAAAUCGUUAUGGAUUUCCUGAACUCGAGGUACUUAAUUCCUUUUUUUUAACUCAUCAAUGUUAUAGUUUUUAUAUGGAUAUCAGCAAUGAAAUUAGAUUUUGAUUUAUGCUAAUUUUUUCUAGAUCUUUUGUCAAGGGUGUUUUUAUAACAAUUAUUUAUUUAGGAUUCAAUUAUAUGCAUUUGUUAUAUGAUACGUAAACAAAACAUUAUUGAUUCUGAUAUCAUAUAUGAAAUUAAUUUUCAGCAUAUUAAUUAAUAAAAUGUAUAGUCCAGCGCGUUAAUGUUGUUGCCACGUCAAUUUUUCCUCCCUCUUCCCCCACGUUUUUUUUUUUUUUUUAAAUUACUUUCUUCUUGUUACAUUUAUAAUUUAGCAAAUAUGAUUGCAGAAAGAAAUCAAAGAAUUGGCCAAAGCUGAUGGCAAUGGACAAUAUCCAGCCGGUGUCAUCAAAAUGAACAAAGAAAAAGAAGAAAAGACUGUGAUUUAUUCGUAUUGGAAAGAUUUAGAUGAAGAUGUCAUUGGAAUGGAAAAAGCAUCAGAAUAUCAUUUGGUAGUGGCAGCACUCAUAGCAACAGUAACCUUUGCUGCGGCAUUCACCUUACCCGGUGGUUACAAGAGUGACACUGAAGACGGCCCAAAUAGGGGCACUGCAAUUCUCAGUAAAAACGCAGCUUUCCAAGCAUUUGUUAUAUCAGACGCCAUAGCCAUGGUCCUCUCACUUUCUGCUGUUUUUGUCCAUUUCAUUCUGUCACUUAAGUUUUUUAAAAAAUUCAUCUUUUUAUUCGUUUUUGCUCUUUCCUUCACCUUAGUUGCCAUGGCGGCAAUGAUAGUAGCAUUUGUUACGGGCACAUAUGCAAUGCUGGCAACACCUUCUUUGUGGCUUGCCAUUGUUACUUGUAUCAUUGGCUUGACCUUCUUCCUCUUGGUGAUUUUCAUGUUUUACAUGGUUUUUUCAAGAGCAGAGGAAAAGGAAUUCGAAGAUUAGCUUAUGGUUGCAGCAGAAGUAUUAUUGUAUACCUCUUUCUAAUCUAUGAUUGUGUUACCAUCAUCCUACUAUUAUGAUCUGGAGUUAUAAGUUGUGAUUGAAAUUUAUUACAUUAUCUUAUUUGGUUUAUUGUUUCAAGGUUGUAUCAAAUACUGAGAGCUUGAAAGAAAUGAUCUCAUCUAUUUAUGAUGUAGAAUUAUUUGUUGCAUAAGCAUUCCAAAUUAAUUUUAAUCAGGAAUCUUCUCUACUCAUUUCAAGACUGGCAGAACGAGUACUAGUUGUUUCGAUGCGUAAAGUUUCUUUUUAACCUAAUUAAGUAGAGAAACAAAUUUGAUAUUUCACAUUGCUAAGAGCAUACUCUUUCAUCAAAAUCAAUUAUAGAACGAUAAAACAAAUUCUAGUUUUGCAAUUUCUACGGUCGAAGUUGAUACAGUUAUUUUGUACAACCAAAUUCCAACUCCUAACACUUGCUAAAUUUAAAAAUCAACUAAAGUAGAACAACAAAAUAAUUACAAGCCGGAUAAGCUGAUGCUAACAGUUUCUACUUUCAAGAGGUUAACAAGACCAACGGGAAAUUGAAAGUAGCAGUCCAGCAUUUCUAAUUAGCAUUUUAAAAUUUUCCAUCUAGACAUGCUUUUCCAGAACUGAACAAACAUAAGGUUAAAGGUUACUGCGCAAAAGCUUCAUAAACAAACUGGUCCUAGAAAAUCACCUUCUAAAUGAUUACUCACAUUAUCAUCUUAAUUAUUAUAUUGUGAAUUGUAUAAGAUAUUCAUGUGUAUGCGUAUGGUAUGCUACGUUAUUUGUAUCAAAUUUUAGUAGAGCACGACACACUCCUUCUCCCUUUCUCUCUCUCUCUCUCUCUCUCUCUCUCUCUCUCUCUCUCUAUACAUACAUACAUACAUACAUACAUACAUAUACAUAUACAUAUACAUACACAUACACACACACAUACAUACAUAAAUUAAAUAAAUUUUGUUCGGUUCUUUUAAUAAGAUUUUUAAAGAUUAAACAAAUUAUUUUAUUUUUACUAAUAAAAAUUUUAAAUUUUAAUAUUUUAAGAAUAGAAGUUGAAUUUUUAAAAAAAUAUUAAAUAUCUAAAAUCUUUUUUAUUUGUUUGACAAUUUAUUUCAUAACAUAAUUUUAAAAAAAAAACUACUUAUUAAAUAAUUUUUUAAUUUUUAAUAAAAUUUUCAUUGGUAAUCAAAGAACUAAAAUUUUUUGAUAAAAAUUCUACUAACAAAAACUGUUCUUAAAGAAAUUUUGUUUGAAAAAUUAAACGAGCUAUUUAAUUAUUAUUUUCUUUUCAGAUGUGCCGAAACUAUUACUUGACGUUGACGAAAAGAAAAGUUUGAGCAGAGAAAUAGACCGACACGGUUGGACUCCACUCCAUUACGCUGCGUAUUUUGAUUGUUGUUUCACCUCAGGGGAUUUAUUCUGCUGUGUUGAUUCCUCACAAAGAUCGGAAGAUGACAGCUCUUCAUUUAGCAGCCGGCCAUGGGAAUGUUUGGGCGGUACAUGAAAUUAUUGACCUUUGUCCAGAAUGUUGUGAAUUGGUUGAUGACAGAGGAUGGAAUGUUCUUCACUUUGCUAUGGUUAGUUUUAGUAUUAGACAACUGAAAUACCUGCUGAACAAAUAUCCGGUAUUCAGAAAUCUAAUUUUUGAGAAGGAUGAGAAGGGGAACACUCCCUUCCAUGUGCUUGCUGCUGUCUGUCCACAUCCAGGCAAUGUCGGCUAUGACAUCGUCCCUUGGAAAAUUGCUAAAGGUUAUUAUCAAGCUGUCAACAAGAAAAAUAUUAGUGUUGAACACAUAAAUCGUUAUGGAUUUCCUGAACUCGGGGUACUUAGUGCCUUUUUUAACUCAUCAAUGUUAUAGUUUAUAUAUGGAUACUGAUAAAUUUCAAGAGUAUUGAAAAGGAUUAAAAGUUUUUAUUGACUUUUCUUCUUAAGGAACAAGAUCGGGUAUUUAUACACAAGUAGAGGAACUAUAUAUGGAAGAAACAUUUUACAGAAAUUAUGGGAUUAAUACUAAACUUAGUCGUUGACUAGCCGUUGGCUAAGAUAUGAAGAGAAUAUGGACUUGAAUAAUGGCUGGCCAUCUUUCUUUGGUGAGUUUGCAUGUCACGGGAUUGUGUGAGAUGAUUGUUGCAAGCCUUUGGCAAGAGCAAUACAGAUUGCCAUAUUUGUUUCCAACGGUUUGCAACUUGCCUUGUUAAUGUGGGAUUGAGUUGGUGUGCUGAUUUUUUCCAUGUUGGUGCGUGACUCAUGUGGCUGCAUGUGGUUCAUGUGUUGUGACUGUUCGAAUUCCACAUUUGGUGGGCAAUGUAUCUUAACAGAUACGACUAAUGAAAUUAUUGAUCUUUUUUCACCCGUGUAUUUAUAGUAAUUAUUUAUUUAGGAUUUAAUUAUACACAUAUCUCAUAUGAUGUGAAAAUAAAACAUUAUUUAUUCUGAUAACAUAUAAGAAAUUAAUUUUAGUAUGCGAAUUAAUAAAAUAUAUAGUCCAGUGCGUAGAUGUUGAUGCCAAGUCAAUUUUUCCUUCCCUUUCAUUAAACUCAUUUUCUUCUAGUUACAUUUAUAAUUUAGCAAAUAUGAUUGCAGAAAGAAAUUGAAGAAUUGUCCAAAGCUGAUGGCAGUGGACAAUAUCCAGACGGUGUCGUCCAGAUGAACAAAAAAAAAGUUCAUCCGUUUUGGAAAUAUUUAGAUGAAAAUGUCUUUGGAGUGGAAAAAGCAUCAGAAUAUCAUUUGGUAGUGGCAGCACUCAUAGCAACAGUAACCUUUGCUGCGGCAUUCACCUUACCCGGUGGUUACAAGAGUGAUACUGAAGAUGACCCAAACAGGGGCACUGCAAUUCUCAAUAAAAACGUAGGUUUCCAAGCAUUUGUUAUAUCAGACGCCAUAGCCAUGGUCCUCUCACUUUCUGCUGUCCUUUUCCAUUUCAUUCUGUCACUUAAGCUUUUUGAAAAAUCCACCUUUUUAUUCAGUUUUGCCCUUUGGUUGACGUUGGUUGCCAUGGCAGCAAUGAUAAUAGCAUUUGUUACAGGCACAUACGCAGUGUUGGCACCUUCUUUAGGGCUUGCCAUUGUCACAUGUAUCAUUGGCUUGACCUUCUUCUUCUUGGUGAUUUUCAUGUUUUACAAGGUUAGAUCAAAAGCAGAGGAAAAGUUAUUGUAUACCACUCUCUAGUACUAUAAUUAUGUUAGCAUCAUCCCACUGUUAUGAUCUGGAGUUAUAAGUUGUGAUUGAAAUUUGUUACACUAUCUUAUUUGGUGUAUUGCUUCAAGGUUGUAAAACGUUACUGAGAGCUUGAAAGAAAUGAUAUCAUCAAUUUAUGAUGCAGAAUUAGUUGUUGCAUAAGCAUUCCAAAUUAAUUUUAAUCAGGAAUCUUCACCGGCGGAAUGAGUAUUAGUCAUUCGAAUGGGUAAAGUUUCUUCUUAACCUAAUUAAGAGGAGAAACAAAUUUGAUAUUUCAAAUUGUGAAGAGAUUUUUUCUUUCGAUAUUCUACCAUCAAAAUCAAUUAUAGAAUUCGAAACAAAUUAUAGUUUUGCAAUGUCUACAGUCUACUUAUGAAUUGCAUAAAGGAUAGAGCUGCAGACCUGCAGUUAGACAUAAGUUGACAAAGUUCGUACGAACGUACAGCCAGAUUCCAACUGCUAAUUUACACUUGCAUCUAAAUUUAAAAAUCAGCUAAUUACAAACCCGGAUAACCAGCUGCUAACAGUUUCCACUUUCAAGAGCUUGAGAAGGUCAACUGGAAAUUGCAACUAUUCAAAUGGUGAUAAAAAAGAGAUUCUUUUGAUAUGUUAUCCAGGUGCAAAAAUAAAAAAUGUCGCUCGAUGAUGAAGUGAAAGAACUAAAACCGCCGCAACAAACUGUGGCGGCCACACUCGUAGCAACAGUUGCCUUCGCUGCGGGGUUCAUAUUACCCGGUGGUUACUGGGCUCAAGAAGGCCCAAUUCCCAGCACUCCAAUUCUCAGAAAAAAUGCAGCUUUUCAAGCAUUUGUUAUAGCUAAUGCCAUGGCCAUGGUCCUCUCCCUUUCAGUUGUCUUUUAUCCAUUUCCUUACUUCAACUAAGACCCUUCGGCAAAUGACGUUUCUUGUCAAUGUGGCUCAUUGUUUCAUCCCGGCUUCCAUGUUAGCAAUGACGGUUGCAUUUGUUACAGGAACAUCCCCAGUGUUGGCACCUUCUGUUGGGCUUUCCGUUGCUACUUGUGUCCUAGGCUUGAGCUUCUUCCUCUUUGUGCUUUUCGCCAUGUUCAAGUUUGCUUAUGGAUUGGCGCAAAGGUUGCUGGGCUUCAUGAUAUAAUUAGAAAAAAACAAAUCUCCAUGUUGGAGAAAUUAGCAUGUUUCUGUCUCUGUUUCUAGUAGUUAAUAUGUAAUUUCCAUCUCUUCAAUCUUUAUUCUCAGUGUUAUAUUAUAUGUGUAUACACUACUACAACUGAGAUUGUAUCUAAUCCUCUUUUGUGUUGAGCUAUUAUCAUCAAAAGAGGAUUAAGUACAAAUACAAGGUCAACAUGAAAUUGCAAGUAGCAUAUUAACAUUCCAACAUUAGUAAUUAACUAAAAUACUCUUUAUAUUGUAUUGGUGAAAACUCUGUAAUAUAAGGUUAAUAUAAUCAAUUUUAUCAGGUGUUAAUGUGUUAGGAGCUUAUUUACAAAUAGAUAAAUAAUAUCUAAAAGAUAUGCAGUGAGUCUAGUUUUAGUACUAUGUUCUCAUAAACUUUUCCUCCUCUGAUUCCACCAUUUUGGAUUCUUGAACCUGGGCUGGCUUAUGCUAUCGAAACUGAAUAAACUUACUAAUAUAGACUCAAUUGCAAGUCUCAAAUCUUUUCUUUUUCUAAUUUGUAUAACCAAAAUUUUGUAAAAAAAAUAAAGCUUAUAUAAAAUUAUCAUACGUUUUCAUUGCAUCUUGAUACAAAUUGUUUCUUAACAAAAUGAUUGAGAAAAAAAUAUAAGAGACAACAAUGAAAUUUACAAUUUUCAGAUUAGGGAAUUGCAAAAUGCAAUGCUGAGACAACAAAAUAGCUUAGGUAAAUUAAUAUGCAACAAAAUAGAAGAUAGUAUCCAUCAUUUCUGUUUCUAAUAUGCUGAGAAACUAGCCCUCUAGGCUUAUAUAAAAGUCGCAACUACAUAUUCACAAGAUUUUUUUUUUUUUUUAAAGUAAUUUAUAUAAACCUCCUCUUGCUUAUACUGCAAGCAAAUGCAAGUCCAUUCACUAUACCUGCAUAAUAUGUACAAGCAUUUACAAGUUAAUAUCAUCAGUUCCAGCCCGACCAGAUAAUGAAACUGGUCCAAGUGAUUCACCUUCUACUCUACCAAAUACCAAAUACUUCUUUUUUAGAUUUCUCCCUUCGUCAAUCCAUUGCACUGCAGUCACCAAGAACUGGACCACUAAGCCAUUCCCUAUCUUUGCUUCUUGUUCAUUUGAGAAGAAUGGUUGUUCCCUAGGUUAACAUAGCAUACUUCACAGGACCACACCGCAAUAUGAAUAACUCCAUGCAAGAUUUCUCCCUUGACAGGCAAGAAAGUGCGACACAGAAAUGUUAAAGGGAAGAACACAACCCCUGACUCAUUCACAGUUCCUCGCUCUCUGCCGAUGCUCUUCAAGUUAGUUACUGAAAGAAAGUAACAGUGAUCCUUGCAAGCCUUCUCAUUUAUCAAGCCCUUCAACAGGCAUGUUACAAAUAUCGCUGAGGAACCUGCAACGCGUUUCUGUCCAAACUUUUAGCAGGCACUGAUACAUCCUGAGCAAUUCCACUUCGAAAGACAUUUCUCCUCUACAUCAAAACAACUAAAAUAAGUAGGACUAUUACAAAUUAACCAACCAGAAUUCUUCCAGAUUCUAUGCAUAUCAAUGCUGUUAAGAAAUCUAAUAGAAAAGAUGAAUAAGAAUACAAUGAUGCUGAUACCACUGUAUGCAUCCCCAACUGCGCCAUGACCUGGAGGUUAAUUUUAAAGCUAAUCAAGAUUUUAAACUUAGUAUUGUAUCCAUAAUACAAUCCACAAAAAUCGAAGAACGAACCAAUAAAAAGGUUGUACCAAAAAGAGAUAAAUCACUAAAGGAUCAUUUUCAGUUACAUUACGAAUGCUAUACAUUUUGAACAGAAUAAUUUAUUCCUAUCAACACAUCAGUGUUUCUUAUCAUUACACACAUCAGUAAUCUAUUUGGUUGUAUACAUACCUUCUCUUGCGUAUUGACUCAUGUUAGAUAUCUGAAGUAAUUUAUGCUAGCUAGCUCUUCAGUAACACAAAAAACAGCCAAAAGUACCAGCACUCUCUGCAGCUAACAUGAAAAAGAACUCAACAUUACCAACAAAAAAUUUCAAGUAUCAUAACCAUUUCUAAAGAUCCCAUUUCACAACAUUCACUAUAAAGGCCUUCACAAUAUAGCAAGUGACUAGGAAUAAAUAAGAAUAUAGAACUCUCUCUCUAAUUCUCAAUCUAGCUUUUAAUUGUCACUCAAAACCCCGAAUUUAUCCUUAAAAGUGUAAGCAAAUCAGAGAUGACAGCGUCUGGUUGUCAUACGCGCCUUUUAGUUUCCCGAUGACAUGGCGUACACUUCUUCUGUAAACCCAACACGACAUGUCGUACUCUUUGUUUUGAGAUCAUAUUUCAAACUCUUCAUGUUAUGAAUGAAACAUAAACUACAAUCAUCAAAACAUUUAGUGUUUAUUUGGUAAUGUAACGUCACGAUUGUUGUGAAUUGAAAUUAUUUCUGUAAAAUAAAAGGAUUUGGGUCAUUGUUUGUUAUUUUCUAGUAAUAUUUAUUAUAUAUUAAAAAAUAAAUUUAUAUUUAUUAAGUAUAAAAAAUAAAUAAACAAAUAGAAAUAGAAGGAAAAGUUUAUACAUUUCGUAAAAUAAUAAGAACAAUAUCAAUAUUUCACACUCUAUAAUUGAGUGAUGUGUUGUCCAACUGCCAUACAUUGGUCCCAAACGGAGACUUAAAUAUCAAAGUCUACAGUUAUUGUGAUGAUGAUUUAUAAUUGUCGAACUUGACAUUAUAAGGUAAUCAUGCAUUAUAAGGUGCUGAUUUCUUCUGAUCGGAACCUUAUUUUUCAUUUACAAAUAAAUAAAUGAUGUGACUUUCACAGAAUAUUCAUGCAAAAAAACAAAAAACAAAAUAUCAUAACUGUAUUUCAAAUUGUCAAUGUUCUAUAACAUAAAACAAAAAAUUUGUUUUAAAAAAAAAAGAAAAAGAAAAAGAAAAGACCUCUGUUACAUGAAAAAGAAAUUUCCAUUCUAUAGAACGAAUAUUAUACUUUUAUAUUAGAAUAGAAGGACACUUUUCCUUGGUGCUACUCCAUGUAGUUCUUAAAAUUCGUACCUUAAUUAAUGUCAGUAAGUAAUAUAGGAUUUUUACAUGUAAUAGUUUUGUAAGUUUAGGAGUAAAACUUGGUCACAAUAGGACUGGACAAGUCUUGUGUUAAUAUUUUACUCUUUUUUAUUUUACUUUUAAAAGAUUUUCCAAUGCAUAUUAAUCUCUUCAAAAUAUUUUGAUUUCUAUUUUCUUUUCAGUUAAGAAGCUGAUAAUAUUUAUAUAUCUAAUUUCUCUGUUUUUAUAAUUUUAUUUUUUUAUUCAUUUUUUAUAAUCCAAAUACUAUUACCUUAGAUAUUUUUCCCCGCCACAGAUAACGUAGCCAUGCCAAAAUAGUCUUGAGAAAUAUGUCAGCGUCUAAUUGCUGCUGAGCUUCCGAAACCCAAAGCCUCAAAUUCGUAGCCUCAAAACAGUGGCAAUUCGAUGCCUGCUUUUUCACUAAAUUUAGUUUUUGCGCAGAAGAUCUUUAGCUAAUUAAUGAUAUGGCUCGAGUCCCUAGUCGCCAGUUCUGCCCAGCAACAGCCAUAUUCGAUUCGUUUCAAUCAUCCUUUUCAAAGUUCCACGGUACCCAUUUUCAUUUCUUCAGGUGCGGUUACACAAUUCCUCUUAAAAAUAAUUUCUUUUAUAAAAAUUCUUCUUCAAACUCUGCCCAUGAAAAAAACCCGCCAAGAAAAAUUUGUUCUUUAUCCAGGAAUAAAUUUUUUUUUUCUCAACAUGAUAAAGAUGAGAAUGCCAACUUAUGUUCUAGCAGCAGUUGGUUAGAUAAAUGGAACAAACCCAAUAAGUAUAACCACCUGAAACCUCCUCAGGCACGCGAGAAUCUUAGAAAAAAUAAUGGUAAUGGUGUUGGUGGUGUUGAUGAUGGUGGUAAUACCAUGGGGAAGAUUGUGGAGAAACUGAAGAAAUUUGGUUACGUUGGUGACGGUGAUGGUGAGGGCAAGGAAAGAGAGAGUGAUUGAAAAAGGGUCUAGAGAGGAUAUAUUUUGUUUGGAAGAAGGAUUGUUGCCGAAUGCAGGAGGGUGGUUUUCAAAAGUAUACCCGUUGGGGUUAGGAGAGGAGGUAGGGGGUGACGGAGAAGUGAAGUUUCCAUGGGAGAAGCGGGAGGGAAGAUUUAUGUUACAAAUUUUUUUAAAAUGUAUAUAUUGAUGCAUUCACUGCAUUUCUUUUUAACUUAAUUUCAAUUGAUCGUAUAUUACGUUGCAUUACGAUCCAAAUUGCUUCUUCAGAGAAUUAGUGAGAAAUUAUGAAAGAAAAAAUAAUUUAAUUUGCUUUCCAAUUCUAUUUUUUUUCCCCAAAAUCAAGGCAAAUUAUGCGAGGCCCAAAAUAUUAUUUGUUUUGCCGUGAAAUUUAGAAACAAAAAAAAAAUACCUGGACAGAUACCGAACACCCCACGCCUCAUUCACAGUGCGCAGGAAGAAGUUUGACUACUGGGAAUACGAGAGGUAUGGAAUUGACCCUUGGCCGAUGUCCUUCAAGUUGGUCACUGCAAAAACAGAAAAUUUUUAGAAGGGAGUGCUAAAAUCUGAUUAUGAAUUGUUUAUAUGUCAUUUUUACCCUCUUUGAUUUUUCCUAAUCCCAAAAUAACCUUCCGUCAAUAUUUAAAUUUAAUUACCUUAUUAACUAUGAAAUAUUUAUUUGAAUUUUAUUCAAUAUAAAAAAAAAAAAACUGAAAACCAGAGGCUACCGUCGCCGGCGGGGAGCGGCCAUUGUUGACAUUGGCAUUCAAGCUUGUGAAACAUUGUUAGCAUAAAAAAAAAAGAAAAAAUCGGAAUCCAACGAUCUAUGCAACGGAGUGAAUAUUUCCAUCCACAGCGGUGCGGUUUCACGGCGGAGAUGCUGCAACCUUCCUCAUGAUUUGCGCGUGUAGUAGGAUUGGCCAUUUUCUGACAAAAUCUUACCCUAUAUUUGAGCACAUCAUGAUCUUAGGGUUUGAUUGGUGUAAGUGGUAUUGAUAACGGACCAUUUCCGGCAGUAUCUGAAAUUUUGACCGCUGCAUGCGGUGAACUUGUUCACUAUUUUCCGACGGUCAUGAUAGUAAGGGUCUUAUCGGCGAACUAGGAUUUCAAUGAUGAUGGCGGUGCGUUCUGAGGGCGACAUCCUUCUUCAUCGCCAGUGAUUGGCCGAUGAGCUAUUUUCAAAAUUUCCGGUGAUCUAUUUUCAAUUUCUUAGUAAUUUUUUUUUAAAUUUAAAGUGAAUAUAAACACAAGUUAAUUAUUUUUUGAAAUAUGAACAGAAAGUUAACAAAAAAAAAAAAAAAAGAUCGUACUUAACGUAACGAUUUAAAGAAAAUUUAAAUUGAAAGUUGAAAAACAUAAAAAUAUUUCUUUAUUGAAUAAUUUGCUUCGAAAUAAAUUUUAAUUUUUUGAUUUAAAAUUUUAAUUGUUUGUAAUAUAACCAAAUAAUAUCAUUAGUUCACUUUCGUCAUUUCAAUUUACAUAUUUCUUUUUAUUAUUAAUUUACCAAACAUGCAUCUCAAAUUAUAUUAUAAAUUAUUAUGGUAUAAUUUGAAGAAACUUGUUUCUCAUUUCUUAAAAUAAAACAUUAUACAUUGAAUGUUAUUUAUAGAUGCAGAGACUAUAUUUUUUUCAAAGAUUACAUACGUGAUUACGGAAGGAAAUAUGUCAAUUUGUUCGGUGCAGAUUGUGUCUUUAACAAGUGCGGAUCAGGCUUUUGUCAAGUGCAGAUCAUACCUUUAAAAAAUUUCUUCAAUGUCGUUUUAUUUGACAUUCUCAAUAUAAUUUUAAUUUACAAACAUGCAUUAAGUUAUUAAUAAAACUGACUACUUCAAAAUCUAUCCUAAAAUAGAUUAUUUGAGAAGGUAAUGCAAUCCUAAACAUACCCAUAAUCAGUAACCCAAUAGCAAGAGCGUUACAUAAAAAAGAGGCAAAGAAUAAGGUACAUAAUAUAGCUUCGUCUACUCUCGAGUCAUUUUGGUUCUUUGCCCGCCUGACAAAAAGUGAAAGAAAAAUGUCAAUUGUCAAAUGUGAUGGGGCAAGCAAAGGAUAUCGAUCGAUCAGGCGGCAAGCUGCAGUAUUUAAAGAUAUCCAGGUCCAGGAUUAACUAGUAAGCGUCAAACAAUUACUUAAAUAAACCAUCACAUUCGCAAACAUAAAUCCUGAUUUGUACAGAGCUGCAGCUAAGGGUGAAAUUGAACCCUUCAUCGAAAUUGCAAAAGAUGAACUUGUAAGCAUGGUGACUCACGAUGAGAAUACGGUCCUUCAUGUCAACAUUGCAUCCCACCAAGAAGGAGCGAGGGUAUCCAACGGAGUUCGUGCAACGGAUACUUGAAAUUUGUCCAUCAUUGCUACUGCAAGUUAAUGACAAAGGUGAUUAAUAUUUUUUAAUAUUUAAUAACAAAAUAUUAAAUAAAUAUUAUAAUCUAUCGUUCCAUUAUUAUAUCUUCAAAAAAAAAAAUCUUUCAUUUUAGUAUACUUUCAUUAAUUAUCCUUUAUUGUUACUAGUUGUGGUACUGCAACUCGCAAAGCUAGUCUUAAUAGAGAUCAAUUCAAUGUUAAUAACUGACAUUAAAGCAGUGAAAAUGAGUGACAUACAAAAACAAGAUAAAAUAUUAAGUGCCAACCCCCUUCUUGUUUGUUAAAAUAUAGCGAAAACCUCAUGUCGUCAGUAUUAUAAAUGUUUCAAAAUUCGGAGUUAUCAUAUAAAUUGGGUGUUUAAAUUCGAUUAACAGAUUUGAUUUAUUCAAUAAUUAACGAUAGAGUAGCCACUCCUCCCUUCUCGCUUCUAUGCUUCGUGAGUCCUUUGUAACCUAAUUCUCAUUAACAACGGAUUUGCUCUAAUCUUUACCCAAGGGAUGUGUCUGAGGUCCAUUAGAUCCACAUUUCUUUUGCAACAAAGCCGCUUACUACAUUACCUUAGGCCCCUUAGCAAAUGGCUAUUUACUUAUUAGACCAUUUGCUAGUGGUUAAAACUCUUCUUCCUUUAUAGAUAGAAUGAAUGACUUUGAAUUUUAUUAGAAACCUCAUUUUUUUUUUUUUGGUAAAUAUAUUUUUGUAAGGGUUAAGUAGCUCCGAUAAUGACUUAAUGUAAUGAGAGUAAACUGUAAUAUAAAAUUAAAAAAAAAGGUUUAUAUUAUUUAAUUAUCAAAUGGCUAGGCUUUGGAGUUUUUUUUUUUUUUUUGGGAGGGGGGACAAAAAAAUUCUUAUUAGAUAGAACAAAAUUUAAAAAAUGACAAGUGUCGCAAAAAAUCUUCCAUCAUUACAAUACAACUACGGGAACGAACUAUAAAGUUAGCUAAAGCAACUUCAUCACAAUUAGCUUAGGAGAAAAUUUUGAUCUCUAGAGAGUAUAUUAAUUAUCAAAUAAACAGAAACACCGUUAAAAAUAUAAAUAAAUAAAAUAAAGAUAAAAUCUCUAAAUAGGUUAUACUUUGUCAUAUGUAGAGCAGGAACCUUAUUAUGAAUCAUAAAUAAAAAUAUAUAUUAGUUAUAUUAUAAAUUUCAUUUAUUUAAAAUCAAUUCUUACAACGUUCUAAAAUGUCAAAUUAUUAAAUAAAAUUCUACUAUUGCUAAUUUAUGAAAUUUUAAUUCAAUUAUAUCAUUUUCACUUAUUGUUUCUUUACUCAAAUUACAUCUUUUUUACCACUCUUUUUUUCGAUUAAACUAAUUUUCCUAUUUUCUAUUUUUUAAAGUUUUUCGACACAGUUUUAUUUCAAAAUGGAUAAAAUAAGCACACAAAUAAUAAUAAUAAUAAUAGCAGAUGAACAAAAUAAUAAAUUAAAAAGAAAUAAGAACAAUUAAAUAACAAAACUAAUUAAGAGAAAAAUAAAAAGAUAAAAUCUGAAAUUUGUGAUGAAAUUAUAAACUAACUUUAUCUUUAAUUGUUUGAGAAUUUAAGCAAUGAGUAGUACUAGGGGUGUUCAGAAUCUAAUUCGAUCCGCUAAAUCCAUAUGGUCCGUAGAAAUUCGAUCCAUAAAAAUUCGAUUUGUAGAUUGGUGGAAUGGAUUAGAUUUGAAAAUUUGAAAAUCCACAGUCAUUGCAUUGGAUAUGGAUUUACUUAUGUGAAUCCGCAAAAAUCUGCGAAUCCACAAAUAAAUAAAAAAUAUUUAUUUAAUAAAAAAUUAAACUUGUAAAUAUGGAAUUAUACUUACUAAUAAAUAAAUAAGUUAAAAUAUACACUAACACCAUAUUAUGUCUUCUCUGAUAAUAAUAUAAAAUAAAAAUAAUUAAAUAAAAAACAUAACUUUCUAAGCAAUUAAUUUUCAUGUAUUGAUCUAAACAAAUAAGAUUUUUUUCUUUUUGGUGUGUUAUAUUUUAAAAUUUUAAAUGUAUUUUCUAACUUUAUUUAAAUAAUUAUUUAAAUAUUAUUUAAUUUUGAAUUUAAUUAGUAGUAAAAUUAUUUUUGUAUUAAUUUUUUUAUUCAAAGUUUGAAACAUUCAAUCAAAAUCUCUUUUCUCUCCCUUUUCCUUGUAGCGGGUUUAAAAAUCAGUAUUAUCGCAAUGUGGGCUCAUUCAGUUAUUGGAUCAACUAAUGAGAUACAACCUGAAUAGAAAAUAGGCAAUGCUCUUCGUUAUUACGUACAGAAGGUAACAAAAUUCUCCUCUGCCACUUCCUCCUCCCUUCGACAGUGGCUUCUCAACGAUCUUUUGUUAUAGGCGUUGGCACAAAUAAAGGACGUUGAUAAUUUAGGGAAAAAAUUAAAUAAAUAAAUAAAAAGGACCGUUGAUUAAUGCUGUCGGUAAUAAAUUAGUGUUGGAUGGGUAGACUUGCGCCUUGACGCAAAAUACUGGAAAGAACAAGCGAACCUGUAAUUCUUGAUAUCUAUGAUGGAGGUGUUGUGAUUUUUCUGGUACCGUGGCUGUUGUAAAAGAAAAAAAAUAAUAAUUAUAAAAUAAAAAUUAAUAGUAUAUAGUAAAUACAAUUUUUAAAUAAUAAUUUUAAUAAAAUUAAAAAAAUAUAAUAAAUUUUUAUUAUAUAAAUAUAAAUUUAAUUUAAUUUUUAAAUUAUAAUAAUUAAUAUUUAUUAAAUACUUUAAUAUUAUAAUUUUUAUGUUACAAUUUUUUUACCUCAAUUUCAAACAACACCUCAAUCGAAUUAGUUGGCAUCAAGAUUCUUCUCCAACCAGAGAGGAACAUCAUAAAAAAUAAUUGUGAGAAUAUCAAUGGGGCUUCAAUUGUUCAAACAAGUCCACGCACUUUUUCUCAUUUAUUUGUCUUUUUUAUACGUGACAAUUUCGUAUUUAGUUUGUCAACAUUUAUAUAUAUAUACAUAUACACACACACACACUUAUCAUAGAGUUUAUAUUUAUGUUAAUGCAUGUGUUACUAUUCAUUAAUUAAAAUAUGCUUAAAAAUGAUAAACGCCAAGGUUAAUAUCUUUGACGAAUUCAUAAAUUAUUUAAAAGGUAUCAUAAUUUAUUAUUUUAUUAUUAUAUUUAAAAAAAAUUCAUUUUACUACAUUUCACUUAAUACUGUUGGUCCUUUACUGUUACUAAUUGUAAGGUGACGGCUAAUGAAGCCAAUCCUAACAGAAAGUCGUUCAACGUCGAUGUCAUACCAACAUUGAAGGGGUAAAAAUGAGUUCACAUAUAAAACCAAGAUCAAAUCCUGUAAGCUAUUAUCGUUAAUUAUUGAAUAAAUCAAACAUGUUAAUCCAAUUUGGUGGUGUACACGUGCGAACAUAGAGAAGGUUGAAAAUAUUAAGAUGUGGACCAAUUUUAAAUUAUAACUCCGAAUCUCAAACGUUGAUAAUAUUCACAACAGGAAAAAAUUUUAAAAUAUAUUGGAGGUAAUACAAUCAACUAAUAUAUAUAUGACAUGUCUAUUUAGAUUUAAUAUAACCACACUUGAAUGAUAAUAUUUCGAAAUAAAUGCACACAUGUCAUAAUAUAAUUUAUUUAUUAUAAAUUGAUAUAAUAUCUCUAAUGUAUUUUAAAAUUUCUCAACGACAGGAGAUUUUGUUGAAUUUUGAAAUAUUAAGAGGUUUUCGCUAUAUUUUAAUAAAUAAGAAGGAGGUUUUACUCAUUUCCUUUAAAUUAAUUUUGUAAACUAAGGUCCAUUAUAUCCAUAUGACUUUUGCAACAAGCCCGCUUACCACAUUGCCCUUAGCUAAUAGCUAUUUAUUAUUUAGAGCAUUUGCCUGAUGGUUAAUAAUCUUCUUUCUUGGUAAAUAGAAUGACUUUGAAUUUUAUUACAAACCUCAUAUAUUUUCUUAAUAUAUUUAUGUAAGUGUGAAGUGCACCUGUAUCGGGUGCUCCGAUAGUAAUUUAAAUGAGAGUAAAUUGUAAUUUAAAUUAUGGAAAAAAAUAUUUGUAUUAUUUAAUUAUCAAAUGUUUAGGCUUAGGAGAAGGUGUUCUUUUUUCUUUUUAAAUACAAGAAUUAUCAAUAAAUAAGUAAAUAACAUCUCAAAAAUAACAAGUUAAGUGUUGUGAAAAAUCUUCCAUCCUUAAAAAAAAAGGAGAAUGAAUUGGAAAUUUAGCUAAAACAUAUACAGAUUUAUUAUAAUUAGUUUAGAAGAAAAUCUUACAAGUAGAUCCUCCUUUAGAAUUCAUAAAUUCUAAUAUUUAAAAAAUAAAUGUUAUGCUAAACGACAUCAUGUUGGUCCUACCUUCAGCUGAAGUGAUAGGGCGGCCGAUAGAAUUUUCUCCCGUGAGUAACGACAUAAUAUCUUAGAUUCGAAAUCUUUAAAGACAAAAUUAGAAAGUGGUGUAAUUAUAAUGUUUGGCACAAAUGUGGCAAAGUAUAAUGGGAUAAGUCCAUUGAAGCCAGGUUAGCUCGUGAACAACGUGUGAUCUAUUAUUAUGUAUUGUCGUGGAAAAGGAGACGUGUCUAGUUGUAAAGCGAAGUCUCGGACAGUGAAAGUCUGAAGUAAAGACCAUUGUUGAUUGACGAUGUCGGUAAUAAAAUAAUCCUGGAUGGCUAGACUUGGGCGUUGACGCCGAUUACAACGAAAAGAGAGAAAAGAUUGAAAACGAAGGUAAAAUAUCUUUAAAUAAGUUUAAUCUCCAUCUCAAUGAUAACAAGUUUAAGUGAUGUUAAAAAUCUCCCUUUAUUACAAAACAAUUACGAAGAUGAAGUACAAACUUAGAUAAAUAAAGUAUCUAUAAUAUUAUUAUAAAUGGCUUAAGAGAAGAUCUUAUACCUUAAAGAGCAUUAUAAUUAUUAAAUAAAACAAAUAAACAAACCAAAAAAAUAGAGACGGAGAAUCUUUGGAUACAUGAUUAAUUAAGUAAUCAUGAGUUGUCGAUCCUUUCAUUGACAAACUACACUGACAUGAUGAGAUCGGCAGAACAUGAGUUGUAGAUUCUUUCAUUGACCAAGACGGCGGCAGGCUGGUCCAUAGAAUUGUUUCUGAAUUGUCUAUUAGAUUAGAAUUCUUUGACAGUGAUAUAAUUACAUUACUGAGUAAUGGAAUCAAAAGUUACGGAGUUAUUUCAUUGUCAAAUGGAGAUAAACAAAGAAUCUCUGUAUAUGUUAUUUAAACAAUUAUUAGAGACAUACAACGCACCAUGUGAUCCGUAAUUAUUGUAAAAAUAAUCUAGGUCAAACUUAUCAGCUAGCUGAGUCCCGUAUCAAAUUUUGCAGCCUUACUUUACUAUAAUUGUAAAAAUACUCUAGGUCAAACUUAUCAGCUAGCUGAGUAAAACAACGUACAAUAAUGAACUGACAAAUAAAAUUCUUUAAGGAUAGACUCAAAAGAGAGAGUUGUAGGGGGAUCGGACAUCAAAACAAAUUUGUUAACCUAUUGUGCCAGUUUGGAUCUUUUUAUUUAGCUGGAAAAGAAAAAGGAAAAUAAUAAUGGAACAAAAGUAUGAUAAAAUCAUGACAAAAAUGUUUUUUAUGAAUUUUUAAAAUUUUCUUUCGUAAUUUAACAUAUUUCUUUUUAAAAAAUUCUCAAAAUUAAUUAAAUUAUAAAAGUUUUUAUCAUUAUUUCGUCAUACUUUUAUUCAUCUAGAAUUGCUGAAGGUAAAAAAUGAUUGACGCUAUCGAUAAUAAUAUAAAAUAAUAUUGAAUGGCUUGACUUGGCCGUUGACGUCUUGGCGCCGAAGACGAAAAAAAGAAGAAAAUAAUUGGUACGGAUUGAACAAGCGAAAAGUCACAGAAAAAUAAUAAUUACAGUUUUAUACGAGACAUUAUUGACUAGCGGCAGCGGGGUUCAAAUAAACCUUUCCCCACCCAUUUUUUAAAUAAAAAUUUAUAAUAUGUAAUAAGUAUAAUUUUUAAAUAAUAAUUUUUAAAAAAUAUAAUUAAUUUUUAAUAAUUAAUUUAAUUUUAUACUACAACAAUUAAUUUUUAUUAAUUAUUUUAAUGUUAUAAUUUUUAACUUACAAUUUACAAACCAUAAUUUUAAAUAUAGUCGUAUUCGAAUUAGUUGGCGUCCAUACUCUUCACCAAACCACAGAGAAAAGUAAAAAAAAAUAAUUGCGAGAAUAUCAUGGGAUCCAAACAAUACUACUAGUCCACGCACUUUUUCUUGCUUUCACAUUUGCUUGUCUUUAUGGACGUGAGCAUUUCGUAUUUUCGCGUUUAGUUUGUCAUCACUUUUUUUAUAUGUAUAUUUAUCAUACAGUUUAUAUCCAUAUUAGUACGCGUGUCACUGUACAUUAAUUAAAAUAUGCUUUAAAAAAUAAUAAACAAUAAGGUUAUUGUCGUUUGACUAAUUCAUAAAUUAUUUAAUAAGUAUGUUAAUUUAUUAUUUUAUUAUUAUAUUAAAAAGAAAUUUUCAUUUUACUACAGUUCAUUUGAUACUGUUGGUCCUUUAUUGUUACUAAUUGAAGGGGUAAAAAUGAGAUCACAUAUAAGACCAAUACCAAAUUCUAUAAGUUACUCUAUCGUUAAUUAUUGAAUAAAUCAAACGUGUUAAUCCAAUUUAGAGGUGUAUACGUGAUAGCACAGAGGAGGUUGAAAAUAUUGAGACGUGGGCCCAUUUUAAAUUAUAACUCUGAAUUCCAAACGUUAAUAAUAUUCACGAGGGAGAACAGCUAACCAAACAAGCCCACUAGCUUCUUCCCCACCACUUGUACUCAAAAACUCAAAUAUCAUGAACUCUGAUCUGUACGAGGCUGCUGCAAAGGGGGAAAUUGAACCCUUCAACCAAUUGGCGAUAUUUUUAUGAAACUUUCUGCUUACUUAUAAUAUAAAAAAUUUAAUUUAUUUUCUGACACUCUUUUUCAUUUACUAUUUUUUUGUAAGUAUCAAAAGAGUUUCUAUUUACAACCAUGAUACAUUAAUUAUCAUAACACUCUAAUAUUAAUAAAAAGACAAAAACAUCCUUAAAUUAAAACCAAAAAAUCGCUUUCCUCUUUUGAGGAAUUACAGUAUCUCAUCUUCCAUAACUCAUUAUCAACAAAAAUUUCAAGGAUAUGACCAUUCAUCUUCUUUAUAAUAUCAUCUCAUAAUAAUUAAUACUUUCAUGAUAAAAGAAUUAAUAAAAUAAAAUAUAAAUUCCCUUUGAAUCUAUCCUCUCCAUUAUUUAUUUCUCUUUAUCAGCAACCUUUAUCGACAAUUAAUACCGCCAUUAGACUCAUCACAGAGAGAAUAAGAGAGAGGAAGAAGAAACGGGAAGAAAACUAUAUGAAACUUUUACAAUUUUAUAGUGUGUUCACUAAAUGGGAAUCGAAAUGAACUGAAAUCAGAUUGAGGUGGAAUCAAAAUGAGGAAUUAAAAUCAGAAUAAGUUAUUUACUUAAACUAUAGAAAUCGUAAUUAAAACGAGUUGUAUUAUCAUUAAUUUGUUUAUCUUGUCUUGAAAUUAAAAUUGGAAUGAAUUAAAUUAUAAAAACUUACUAUAAAAUACUUAAUUAAUUUUUAUCAUAAUUAUUAUUUUAUACUUUAAUUAUUGCGAUUAUUAUUAUUCAAGAAAUUAAUUAUUAUUAAUAUUAUUGUUAAUCAUUAUUAUUAACAAUUAAACUAAAAAAUUACUAUUAAUUAGUGAUAAUAUAUUAAUUAAUUAGAUCACUUUUUACUGUUGUUAAUAAUAAUAAUAAUGAUAAUAAUUUUUUUGAGUUAAUUAAAUGGAGGGUAUUUAGGGAAUUUAAAAAUUAUGAGGGUCGAGUUUGAUAUUCUAAGGGUUUUAAUAAAAUAAAACAGAGUACGAGGGGUUCAACGAAAUUUUACAGUAACUGGUUCAGAAAAGACAAAAGCUGCUGUAACGUACUACGGUGGUAGCAUAGGCGGAUCCAAGAAAAGAAAGGGGUACUUAACUAAUUUUUUAAUUUCAGUUGGUCAUAUUUAAUUAGUGUAUGCCCUCUAGUUUUAUAGCCAACCAAACAAGGCCACUGGCUUCUUCUGCACCAUACCAUUGUACGCAUUCUGUACUCAAAAACUCAAAUAUCAUGAACUCUGAUCUGUAUGAGGCUGCUGCAAAGGGGGAAAUUGAACCCUUCAACCAAUUGGCGAUAGAUCGUCAACUUGGAAGCCUAGUGAUUCACAAAAAGAAUUCCGUCCUGCACGUCAACAUAAUUGCAUCCUACACCCAGAAUAAAGAAGGAGAAAGUGUCUCAACCGAGUUCGUGGAACAGAUACUUGAAAUGUGUCCAUCAUUGCUACUACAAGUUAAUGCCAAAGGUGAUGCCCCACUCCAUGCUGCGGCCAAAUGCGGAAAUGCUGCUGUUGUGAGAGCUCUGAUUGAGUUUGCGAAACAAGAGUUCGAUCAAGAGAUAGAAAGUGGCGAGAAAAGUACAGCAAGGCUUAUGCUAGGGAUGAAAAAUCUUGAAGAAGACACAGCGUUGCACGAGGCAGUGCAAAGUGGUAGUCUUGAUGUCGUGAAAAUUUUAUUGGGAGCAGACCCUGCUUUUCCGUAUUCUGCUAACGGUAGCGGUGAAACUCCACUUUACUUGGCAGCCGCGAGGGGACAUGCGGAGAUAGUCAAGGAAAUAUUACAAAAAUGUCCGUUGGCGGCCCGUGAAGGCCCCAAUGGAAAGACUGCCCUUCAUGCAGCAGUCUGCAGUUACUCUUACCCUUACGGUAUGGAUGCGCAUGCUUUCAUACAAUAUUUAAUACCAUAAUUGUUUUUUAAAUUUUUCGGUUUUUUAAUAAAUUUUUUAAAGAUUAAAUAACUUAUUCUAAUAAAAAUAUAAAUUUUAACCUUUUAAUAGCAGAGUUUGAAAACUUUUUAAAAUAUUUAAAUAUCUGAAAUAUUUUUUAUUUGUUUGACAAUUUAUUUUAUAACAUAAUUUUAAAAAAAUUAUUCAUUAAAAUAAUUUUAAUCAAAUUUUAUUGGCAAUCAAAAAAUUAAAUUUUUUUUGAUAAAAAUUUUACUAACAGGAACUAUUCUUAAAUGGAUUUUAUUUUAAAAAUAAUAUCAAACAUAAGCUUAGUUGUUUAAUUUUCUUUUCUUUUUAGGUGUGAUAAAACUAUUACUUGACAGAAAGAAAAGUUUGACCAGAGAAAGAGAUAAUCGCUUGGUCAUCUCAAAGUGUUUAUUAGAAGCUGAUAAAUCUGUUGCGUUGAUUCCUGAUGAAGAUCGGAAGAUGACAGCUCUUCAUUUAGCAGCCGGCCAAGGGGAGGUUUGGAUGGUACAAGCAAUUAUUGACCAUUGUCCGGAAUGUUGUGAAUUGGUUGAUUACAGAGGAUGGAAUGUUCUUCACUUUGCUAUGGUUAGUUUUUAUAAAAGUGACUUGAAACGUCUGCUGAACAACUAUCCGAUCGUCAGAAAUCUAAUUUUUGACAAGGACAAGGAGGGGAACACUCCCUUCCAUGUGCUUGCUGCUGUCUGUCCGCAUCCAGGCAAUGCCGGCUAUGGCAUCAUCCCUAGGAAAAUUGCUAUAGGCUAUUAUCAAGUUGUCAACAGGAAAAAUAUUAGUGUUGAACACAUAAAUCGUCAUGGAUUUCCUGAACUCGAGGUACUUAAUUCCUUUUUUUAACUCAUCAAUGUUAUAAUUUAUAUAUGGAUACGACUAAUAAAAUUAAAUUUUAUUUUUAAAUUUAUCAUCCCUUACAAAAUUGCUAAAGGUUAUUAUCAAGCUGUCAACAAGCAAAAUAUUAGUGUUGAACACAUAAAUCGUUAUGGAUUUCCUGAACUCGAGGUACUUAAUUCCUAUUUUAAUUCAUCAAUGUUAUAAUUUAUACAUGAAUACGACUAAUGAAAUUAAAUUUAAAAUUUAAAAUUUGGUUUUUUUUAUUGAUCUUUUUUCACCCGUGUAUUUAUAGUAAUUAUUUAUUUAGGAUUUAAUUAUACACAUAUCUCAUAUGAUGUGUAAAUAAAACAUUAUUUAUUCUGAUAUCAUAUAAGAAAUUAAUUUUGGUAUGCGAAUUAAUAAAAUACAUAGUCCAGUGCGUAGAUGUUGAUGCCAAGUCAAUUUUUCCUUCUCUUUCAUUAAACUCAUUUUCUUCUAGUUACAUUUAUAAUUUAGCAAAUAUGAUUGCAGAAAGAAAUUGAAGAAUUGUCCAAAGCUGAUGGCAGUGGACAAUAUCCAGACGGUGUCGUCCAGAUGAACAAAAACAAAGUUCAUUCAUUAUGGAAAUAUUUAGAUGAAAAUGUCUUUGGAGUGGAAAAAGCAUCAGAAUAUCAUUUGGUAGUGGCAGCACUCAUAGCAACAGUAACCUUUGCUGCGGCAUUCACCUUACCCGGUGGUUACAAGAGUGAUACUGAAGAUGGCCCAAACAGGGGCACUGUAAUUCUCAAUAAAAACGUAGCUUUCGAAGCAUUUGUUAUAUCAGACGCCAUAGCCAUGGUCCUCUCACUUUCUGCUGUCCUUGUCCAUUUCAUUCUGUCACUUAAGCUUUUUGAAAAAUUCAUCUUUUUAUUCAGUUUUGCCCUUUGGUUCACGUUGGUUGCCAUGGCAGCAAUGAUAAUAGCAUUUGUUACAGGCACAUACGCAGUGUUGGCACCUUCUUUAGGGCUUGCCAUUGUCACAUGUAUCAUUGGCUUGACCUUCUUCUUCUUGGUGAUUUUCAUGUUUUACAAGGUUAUAUCAAAAGCGAAGGAAGAGGAAUUUGAAGAUUAGCUUAUUGUAUACCUCUUUCUAAUACUAUGAUUAUGUUAGCAUCAUCCUACUAUUAUGAUCUGGAGUUAUAAGUUGUGAUUGAACUUUAUUACACUAUCUUAUUUGGUAUAUUGCUUCAAGGUUGUAAAACGUUACUGAGAGCUUGAAAGAAAUGAUAUCAUCUAUUUAUGAUGCAGAAUUAGUUGUUGCAUAAGCAUUCCAAAUUAAUUUUAAUCAGGAAUCUUCAC